GGAAGGAAGAAAAAGGGCAAAAAGGGAUAAAAACAGAGAGAGACUGCGAAUCUCCCAUUCGAAAUAUCCCACCUUAUCGCCAACCCAGAUUCUACGCCGUCCGGAAGUUAACACCAUCGGGCUGUGAAGAACUGUGUGAAUGGAGGCUUCGGGUGUUUGAUAUAGUUUCGGCCUCCAUUGAAUUGAAUUGAAUUGAGUUGUAGUAAGGUUCUAGGGUUUGGAAUUUGGGUGCGGAACUAGGGCAGUGAUGGCUGAUCGGAACCUAGCUGUGGUGAAGCCGAUAUGGAUGAAGCAGGCGGAGGAGGCUAAGGUGAAGAGUGAGGCUGAGACAGCCGCCGCGGCCAGAGCUGCUUUCGAUGCCACAUUCAAGGAUGUGGACAGAAGCAAAGACAAGGAGGCUGGCGCUGCUGCCGGGUCCGAUAGUGAAUCAGAUGAGGCUGAGGACUUGGCUAACAAGCCCAUUGGGCCGGUGGACGCUGCAAAGUGCACUGCUGCCGGGGCGGGCAUUGCCGGUGGCACGGCCUGUGCGCCAUCUUCGUUUACGGUGGUGACGAAGGACUCUGAUGGGAGGAAGGUUCCGAAUGGCGGUGCACAGAUUAAGGUGAAGGUUAUGCCGGGAGAUGGUGUUGGCGGUUCAGAGGCAGAGGGAAUGGUGAAGGAUAUGGGUGAUGGGACGUAUACAGUGACUUAUGUGGUUCCAAAACGAGGGAAUUACAUGGUGACCAUCGAGUGUAAUGGGAGAGCUAUCAUGGGAAGCCCCUUCCCUGUGUUCUUCAGUGCAGGUAGUACUAGUACUGGAGGACUACUAGGAUUGGCUCCCACAUCCACAUUUCCAAAUUUAGUCAACCAAACAAUGCCUAACAUGCCAAAUUAUUCAGGUUCUGUCUCAGGGGCAUUUCCUGGAUUAUUGGGAAUGAUUCCUGGAAUUGUUCCUGGUGCUUUAGGUGGGGCUAUAUUACCUGGAAUUGGAGCAUCCCUUGGGGAAGUUUGUAGAGAAUACCUUAAUGGUCGGUGUGCCAAAGCCGAUUGUAAGUUGAAUCACCCACCUCACCAGCUGCUAAUGACUGCAUUGGCUGCAACAACUAACAUGGGAACUGUCAGUCAGGUGCCUAUGGCACCUUCUGCAGCUGCAAUGGCUGCUGCUCAGGCAAUUGUUGCUGCCCAGGCUCUUCAAGCCCAUGCAGCUCAGGUGCACGCACAAGCUCAGUCAAACAAAGACUCUGGUUUCUCUGACAAAGCUGUGAAGGCUGAUGUGUUGAAGAGAACGCUUCAAGUUAGCAAUCUUAGCCCACUUCUCACUGUGGAACAGCUGAAGCAACUUUUUAGCUUUUGUGGUACAGUUGUUGAAUGUACCAUCACUGAUUCAAAGCAUUUUGCUUAUAUAGAAUACACAAAACCCGAAGAAGCAACUGCUGCUUUGGCAUUGAAUAGUAUGGAUGUUGGAGGCCGUCCGUUGAAUGUUGAGAUGGCAAAAUCACUUCCUCAGAAAUCUGCUACAAAUUCUCAAAUGAAUUCUUCAUCUUUGCCUAUGGUGAUGCAGCAAGCUGUUGCAAUGCAACAGAUGCAGUUCCAGCAGGCUUUGCUUAUGCAGCAAACCAUGACUGCCCAACAGGCUGCUAACCGAGCUGCGACCAUGAAGUCAGCUACAGAGUUAGCUGCAGCCAGAGCAGCAGAAAUAAGUAAGAAAUUAAAAGCCGAUGGAGUGGAAAUUGAAGAGACUGUAACAAAAGAAAGAUCUAGGUCUCCAUCACCUUGUGCAAGGUCGAAAUCCAGAUCAAGAUCACCUAUCAACUAUCGCCGUAGGUGGAAGUCUCCCUCUUACUCUCCACCCCGCUAUGCAAGAGGUCGUAGGUCUAGAUCCCCUUUCAGGUCACGCCACCAUUCAAUCUAUGACAACGGCCGGCGGUCAUAUAGAGAUGUCAGGAAUGGCAGUGAAAGAAGUAGAUGGCGGGAUGCAGAUCGAUCAGAUGAUCAUCAGUCGUAUGCCUCGAGGAGAAAUAGGAGUAGGAGUGUUUCUCCUCGAACAAGAAAAUCACAUCGAGUUGAUUCGUUAUCACCCAAACAUCGACGUGAACGUUCUCCACGUAGAGGUCGUGGUGCAUCUAGAUCACCAGGCCAUCAUAGGGGGAGGAAGUUAUCUCCAAAAGGUGAUGAAGACAAGUCCAAGCACAGAAAACAUUCUAGGUCCAGUUCACCAGAGGAUAAAGAGAUUUUAAAUGAUAAAAAAGAUGAAACCCGCAAAGAAACAUCAAAGCAUCGAGAAAGAAGGAGAUCCAGGUCAGUUUCAGUGGAAGGUAAGCACCGCAGAAGGCGGUCAUCUCCAAAAAGUCUGGAUGAUAACAAAUCCAAACACAAGAGGCGGUCUAGGUCAAAAUCCGUGGAAGCAAAGCUACAGGCAGCGGAUGAAACUAGAGAUCGUAAAUCAAAACACCAUAGUGGAAGGCGGUCCAGGUCAAAAUCUUUGGAAGGUAAGCGCCUCUAUGAAGAGAAAACUAGUGAACUGAGAGAUGAAAAAUCAAAACAUCAUGAUAGAAGACGUUCAAGGUCAAAAUCUGUCGAAGGGAGGCGGCACUCUGAGGUUGAUGGAGUUAGAGAUAAAAAAUACAAGCGUCGUGAUAGAAAGCAAUUGAGGUCAAGGUCAAGGUCCAGGUCAUCUUCUUUGGAUCCUAAGCUUGAGGGAGGGGAGUCAUCCCCGAGAAGACUUGAUCAACACAAAUUGAAGCACAGAAGGCGGUCAAGGUCAAAAUCACCUGAACGAAAGCAGCGCCUCAAUGAUAAAGCGGAUAAAAGUAGAGAUGAAAAAGCAAAGCGGCAUAGAAGAAGGUCCAGAUCAAUAUCACUGGCGCGUGAGCAUCAGAGAGGAAAUAGGCUAUCCCCUAGAAGUUCAGAUGAAAAUGAUCUAAACAAGAGGCGGCGCUCUAGGUCAGAAUCUCCUGAUGGCAAACAUCAAAAGUCUGAAAGAGAGAAUGGUGAUGAUGAAUUAAAGCAUUAUGAAGAUGGCAAUGAGGAAUUGGGUUCUCUAAUGAAUUAUUCAAGAAAGAAAAGUAAUAAUCAGAUGGUCAUUUCAAAUGAAGAGGACUUAGCCGCAAAGGGAUCGCUGGAAACAGGCGGUCGAGGUGUCUAUGAUCUUGACAGUGAAGGAGGUCCUGCUUCACAAACUUUUAUAGAUGAAUUGAAUAGAAUGGAAGAUCUCGGAAAAGCUGAUAUCAAAUAUCAAAGUGAUAAUGACAAGUCAGCUAAUGAGGAUGAUGUUUACAGAGCAGGCUCCAGGAAGGAUUACAAAAUGCUGAAGUCGCAGAAUAGAAGCUAUCUGACAUCUAAGGGGGAUAUGUUUUCUGAUGAUGCUAGUGGAGAAGAGGAAAACUUGUGAAACUAUGAUUUGAGACUGGGACUAUGGGAUCAAAACUACCUCUUCUGCAGAUGUUUAUGGGUUUGGCUGCUAUGAUAGAGACUCCAGCAUAAUAUAAGGGACUAUUCGAGGAGCUCGAACAGUAUGGGGAAUGGGCUGCCACCUCUCAUUAGACGAUUGCUCAGUCUUUCUAUUGUUGUGUGCCUCUUCAUAAGUAUACUCUUUCUUUGUUUAUCUGGUUGCAGGUCCUCGUAUCGGUCUCUGAGCUGAACUGGAUGUGGUUUUUGUAUCUCAAGAGUGUUAUGAUACCAUCUGCAAUCAUCCAUCCAGUGUUUGUAGUGAGCUUCUUUAACAAAUUGAUGUUAUUCAUGGUGAUUUUGGUUGGAGCUUUCUGAGACAGUUUCACAGGGUUGAUUUUCACUGAUGAAGGACUGGUUCUGGUUGGGUAAAGCUACUUCUAAGUUCAAGUGGUAUCGGACUAUGCUGGGAUGAGUUGUGUCAGACUUGCAUCAUAUAUAUGGCCAUGAGCGGAUCACCUGAUUUACGGUCUUUACUUAAAUUCGUGGUGAAUGGAAUAUUGACUUUAGCAGGUAAUUAAUAAUAGUUCAGGGUUGAGUUCCGUUUCUUGAUAUAACAUCUGAUUUAUAUGUUCUGAAGUACUUCAGAUAUAGUUGUAUAGUUCGUAUUGGAACUUCCACUAAACCAAACAGACAAAUGUUGGCUUUAUUAUCCCCACCCUUUGAUAGUUGGAUUAGCAGUAAAAUCAUUUGUCUGUUUGAUCCGUAGCGUAUUAUCUUCUGUAGCUGCAUUUAUACUUGCAGUUGUAGUACUAUUGAACACCAGAAAACAUGGAAACCCUAUUAGUCUUUGUACAAGUUGUCUAAGAGUUGCUCUGAAUGACAUCUGAACCUUUUUCUAUAUUUUCUUUUUGGUUGCACUUCUUAUCCUUCACCCCAAGUUCUUUAGGUUGCGCUCUGGAUGGUCCGACUACUGCUGCCUUUUGGGUCGACUUGAGAAUCAAUCAUUUGCUCUACCGAGUGUCCUCUGUUUUAAUUUUUGAUGUUUCUUCCUCCCAUCCAUAUCUUUUUUUUUUUUCAAAUAAUAAGUCACCAGUUAGAGAUAUCUUUUAAGGGAAAUAAU